UACGGGGGGGGCAAGCGUUGUUCGGAAUUACUGGGCGUAAAGCGCGCGUAGGUGGUUUGUUAAGUUGGAUGUGAAAGCCCCGGGCUCAACCUGGGAACUGCAUUCAAAACUGACAAGCUAGAGUAUGGUAGAGGGUGGUGGAAUUUCCUGUGUAGCGGUGAAAUGCGUAGAUAUAGGAAGGAACACCAGUGGCGAAGGCGACCACCUGGACUGAUACUGACACUGAGGUGCGAAAGCGUGGGGAGCAAACAGG
rnacentral:rRNA from 1 species